GAUGAACGCUGGCGGCGUGCCUAAUACAUGCAAGUCGAGCGAACGGACGAUAAUCUUGCUUCUCUUAUGUUAGCGGCGCACGUGUGUGUAACACGUGUAUCACCUACCUAUAAUUCUGGUAUAACUUCGUGAAACCGUUUCUAAUACCGGAUAAUCUUUUCAUCCGCAUUGUUCAUUAGUUUUUGUCGGUCUUUCUGUCACUUAUAGAUUGAUCCUCGGUGCAUUAGCUAGUUGGUAAGGUAACGGCUUACCAAGGCAACGAUGCAUAGCCGACGUGAGAGGGGGAUCGGCGACACGGGAAGUGAGACACGGAACAGAGUACUACGGGAGGAAGCAGAAGGGAAGAUUCGGCAAUGGGCGAAAGCAUGACGGAGCAAAGCGGAGUGAGAGAUGAAGGUGUGCGGAUCGUAAAACUGGGUUAGUAGGGAAGAAAAAAUGUGGAAGAAAAUGAGAAGAGAAGGACGGUAACUAAAAAGAAAGCAACGGCUAACUACGUG
rnacentral:rRNA from 1 species